UUUCCAUGUUUAGAAAUAUUUAUCGAUGUGUGAAAGUACUUUUACUUAUAAAAUAAGGUCUCUAGUCAGAUCCAAAAUUACUGACACUCACCUAAGGUCAGUCUUGAAAACAGUCACAUCCGGCAAGAUAUUCCCAAAGGCAAGGAAGAUAGUGACAGAGGAGAAAUGCCGAGUGUCAGCGAACAAUUACCACGUGAGUGCCAACAUUGAGACAUCGUCUAGCAAACGAUGCAGAUCGGAACAGCAUCUGUUCGUUGGCGUCUCGUGGUUGAAAGAGGGUCAUUAAAACCAAAAAGAAGGAGUGCUAAAAGCGUGGGGAGAGGUGGGGGACGUCUCUCCACAAGGAUCCAGUUUAAAUUUGACUCUCCGACAAUUGAGUAUUGUUUAAGACGAAAGAAGGCGUCUUUGUCGAUAGCAGUGGACAUUUGUGUGGCCUUCCCACUAUCUGCGCCAUGGCGAGGGCCAAUCUCGCCACCAUCUAGGUACGGCCUAAGACGACCUACACCCAAAAAUCUAGAGUUUGAAACCAAGAUUACCACAUUUAUCUUCCGGCAUUCCAUUUGAAUUUUCAGCAGUUAAAACAUAAUUCCGACCUUAUAACUAGUAGAAUAUAUCCAAUUAAAUACUGAAAUAAUUUUGUGGAUAUGAUUCUCAUUAGAAUACCAAUUAUUUCAAAACUGUAUGUUUCUGGUUUUAUACAAAUCUGGUA